GUCUAUCUCAAAAAAAAAGAAAAAAAUUUAGGAAAAAAAAUGUAAUUUUGACAAAACUAAGAAGAAGGUGUUCUGAUCUCUGUGUGCCCUCGGCUAUUUGUGUCCCUCAGCAUUCAGUUUUUGGGUUUGUCACUUUCUUCAUUAAUUAAUCCCAGAAAGUUCAGGGUAUUUGCAUUUGAAAACACUCAAAGCACCUUAAUUAUCAAGUAAGUAUCGUCCUGUUGCUAACUGUAGAUUUCCUAACAUUUAUGUGUUCCUGUGGGUGUGGGUGUUGUUUAGAGCCAGUGUGUCCAUUGCUCAGUAUCUCUUCUGUCUGAAAAAUUAGUAGUCUAUGUCCUACUGAAAUCUAAUUCCUUUCUUGUAUGAAAGUAUUACCUGGUUAUAAUUAGGAAUACAAAGUUUCUUUCCAUUAGCAAAGCAGUAAUGUUACAAGAAAUUCUGUGUUAUGGAAACUGUAAAUAUAAGCCUAAUUUUAAUUCAGUUCUGACUUCACACUCUCUAAUAACUAAAUUUUGAACAAUGAUAUAGACUACUAGUAAACCUUUGAGAAGACAUGAAGUAAACAUCAUAUAUUAUAUGUAUUUUUUCAUCUAGACAAGGACAAACAUACUUAUCCUAGUAAUUUAACUUAAUAAUAUUUAUCUUUGUCAUUUUAAUUUUCUCUCUCUCCUCCGUGGGAAAAUGCAGGGCUUGGAGAGGAAGCAGAUAUCUUAUUGAAUGGGACCUAACUAUAGUUUGGCGUGAAUGUUAACAGGUAUUGAAGCAACAGGACUAUGGGAAAGAAUGGGAUUUGAAGAAAAGUCCAGCAAUAAAGAAGACACUGUAAAUCUGGAAAUGUGUAACAAGGAGAACCGCUGGUUGUGGAGUUCCAACUGCUGAGCCUUUGGUGCACUGAGGACCAGACAGCAGGGCUGCAAAAGUGGUAAGUCUGAACUCUUCAGAGAAUAACACCAGCAUUCAUUCAUUCAUUCAUUCAUUCAUUCAUUGUAAGCAUUCAGACUUUUAUGGGUUAUAUAGCAUAUGUUAGGCAAAGUGUUUGGAGCCAGAGAUAAAUAAAUAAUAAAUGUGAUACGUUGCCUAUUUAAAUGGCAUGCUAUCACUUCAGACCGAUUGAUGUUAUCGCUGCGUCUCCAGGAAGGACAUACACUAUCUGAAUUUAUUUUUCAUUAUAGUUUUCUAAAAUGGCUGUGAAUAAACACCACUACCUGCCAUGUGGAAAUAUGAUCAAGAUAAAAAUGUCACACUUAAAAACUGUGUUGGUCUUAAGAAACAUCACAAUUGAAAAUUGGUUUUCAAUAUAUGGAGUAAUUGGGGAAGAUAUUAUGGAAAAGUCAUGUCUAAUAGAAACUUUCAAAAAAAUGUGUCACUUUUCAAUCACUUAAAAGCGAGUAUAUGGAGAUAAUUCAAUAAUUAAAAUUGAAUUAAAUAAGACUUGAAUAUUCAGCAUGAAGCCAAAGACAGUGGUGUGGAUACAAUGCAUGUGUAGAUGCAGGAAACUAAUUGACAUACAAUGGCAAUGCUGUUUCUCUGGUAAGAAAACAAAACAAAACAAAAAACUGCUUUACACCGACAGUGGGUGCUUUAUGACUGCAUGCUAUGAAACCGCAGGCAACCAGGAAAUUUGACAGCUUAUCCCAAGCAACCAGAAUAGAAUAUACUAAUGUGGCCUUGAAACCAGUAGGAACAUUUCUGUUUUAUGAAAGAAGAUUAGUUCAUUCAUCUCCCAGGGCGUGAGCAGUGUACAUUUCAAGGUUUCACAUCAAUCUGGUGGAUGGGAAAAUACUGAUGGCAAAAUUGUCAUCUGUCUGCUCUUGCAUAUACUUGAUGAUUUGUUGGGGGAAAAAGUUAAAUGUUUAUUUCUAAUAUUUCCAAAGAAUAAGAAUAGUAAACAUUUGGUUGUCCUUAGACCGAUUUUAUAACAGUUUUAAUUAUUCUUCAUUUUAGAAAAUAUCAAUGAGAGUAAAUAUGUACCAUUUGAUGUGUGCAGUGAAAAUAUAUACAAAUGGCCCAGCUGAGAUUCUAAGCUUAACAUACAGUCCUCUCUGUCUUGACAUUAGUGCUUAUGACGUUCUAACACAAUGUGCCUUUGGGUUCUGAGAGACAAAAGAUAGAACUGGUCAUAUAAUUAGAAACACCUGAGAAUGGGGAAAUUUAACAAAAUCAAGAACAGUAGAAGAAAAAAAAAUCUUUCUUUUAUAAUGUCAGUCAAACGCUAGAGAAAAAUAUAUGAAGUGUUAGAAAACAGAGUGACCCGUGGAAAGGCUUUCUGAGCAACAUGCUAAAUGUACAAUGAAGAUCUGAGAAGGCAUCCAGAUGUCUCAAUUAGUGACUAUUGUUAGAGUAUUAUUAAUAUAAACCAAAUAUCACUGGGCCUUUUGGAUGAACUGAUCUUCCCUGCAAUCACCUGGAAUUCCCAUUUAAAUGUCAUGUUUUUAAUUGAUGAAUUGUCUCCAUGUGUAGGUUGGGUCCGCUUGAGAAUCAGGAACCAAGAAGAGAUUCCAUAUGCAAGAGAUUUAUUGGGGAAUACUCUGGGAGCAAUAAAGGCAACAGGAGCAGGAGUAGGCAGGGACCUGGGGACUGCCGUGCAGGGGACACACCACAAGAAGCCACGCCAGUUUUACUUACAUUUAUUAAGGGGGAAGAGAAAAGAGAGAGAAAGACUCUACAAUGAGGGAAAUUGCUUGGGCCCUUCCUCCCUGGAUGUCCACACCGUGUGCUGUGCACCAACCCUCCACACGGCCUCCCACGGGAACGCGGACUCCGCCAUGUCAGAGUGUGACAACAUUCUCUCCAAUCCCAUAAAUGGUCACAAGCACGCCAUCUAGACUCAGCUGAUCAAAUGCACUCAAGUGAAAGUUCAAAGGUGAGCAACUGAGGAAACCUGUGGAGUGGAACUACCUUUCCAGUGUAGGAGUUAGCAAAGGCUUUGACCUUCAUCGACAGAGCCGGGUACAGUGACUCACCUGUGCUUGCAAACUCCAGUUUCUGAUGUCAAAGUUGCACUGGUGUUAGAAGCCACCCGUGAAAGGUGCCCAGACCUGUGCUUGUGAGGGGCCGCCGCAGCCAGGCGCUCUGAAGAGACAGGUCCCGUCGAGGUGUGGAGUGCUUCCGGUCCUGGGACCUUUCGAGAAUCCCGACAGACCAGACCUGCCUGGCAGUCGUCUAGAAAAGCGUUUAAAAAUGACAUUUGGAAGACCCAGUCAGGUGAAAAUGUUGGAGGUACAGCCACCCACGUGACUUUUCAUCCAUAUAAGAGCACAUUUAAAAGUAAAGGGGGCGUCCCGAGUGCAUGUGUCUUGACAUUAGUUAUAAACCAUGGAAGAUCUGGAUCAGAGUCACUAAUUAUAGGCUAAGUGUCCCUUCCAUACGUAGAUAAAAAAUUAAACAAAAGCACGGGGAAAGCCCAGUUGUUCUGAAGCCCAGGCUUCAUCUGCUCUGGGCUGUUUCUAUGGGCUUGCUGCAUCAAGACAGAAAUCCUGCGCGUGUUUGAUGGCCACCACCCAGGAAUGACUUGGAUCUCAAUUCCCCACGAUGUGCCUCGCCGAAAGAAAGGCUGUGCAUUUGGGGACCAGCUGUGGACUACUGCCCUCGCUUCACACUCGCGUCGCCCUCGGCCACAGCCACUGCCAGCGGCCCAGGCUCGGGCCUGCAGCACCGGCUCCCCGUCCUCAGGCUGGGCCACACACAGGACAGACGGGCGGCGCUGGGAUCCUGCCCUCAGCCAAGCCUUGCAAAGACUUACAAUUCUAACGGUAAGGUCUUUAUCAUGCUCUAUCUCCCUUAAAUAUCAUGCUCUAUCUCCCUUAAAACCUGAACAGCUUCAGCACCAACAGAGAAUCUCAUGUAGAUUCAGCUAACUGAAUGACAUCUUCUAUCUUCAUUUCCUACCACAUUGUGUUCUUGCCUUAAAAUUCUUCCCUAAAUUUACCAAGGAAACUUUUGUAUUUUCAAAGGUGUUAUUUGAAGCAGUCAUUUCACAACAUAUCCUUUCUAUAAAACAAAAGCAAUAGUUCUAUAGUUUUGCUUUUUAAACUACUGUAUAGCUUGCUCAAUGCACAGUUUGGCCCUAGGAAACAGCUUGUAUUUAUCUCAAAUGUCAGCGGUUAGUGAAGAGAAAAACUUUACAGUAUUAUACUCUAUAUUGAAUUAUAGUCCAUGAUUCUACAGUUCGAUUUGAA